GUUGCUAAAAUCAAAAUAGCUAAGUAUUUUAAUAUUAUCCCUGCCUAAGACCACAGUGACUAAAAUAUUCUAGCACUAGGAAAUUAUCUUUCACCCAGAUUCCUGGAAAAGCUAUCUGAUAUAGUUUGGAUGUUUGUCCCCUCCAAAUCUCAUGCUGAAAUGUGAUCUCCAAUGUUGAAGGUGGGUGUAGUGAAAGGUGUUUAGGUCAUGGGAGUAGAUCCCUUAUGAAUGGCUUUAUGCUGUCCUCACCAUAACAGGUGAGUUCUCACUCUAUGAGUUCACACGGGAUUUGGCUGUUUAAAAGACACUAGCACCUCCUCCUUCUCUCUCUUGCUCCCUCUCUCACUAUGUGAUAUGCCGGCUUCCCCCUUGCCUUCCACCAUGAUUGUAAGCUUCCUGUGGCUUCACAAGAAGCUGAACAGAUGCUGGCACCAUGCCUGUAUAGCCUGCAUGGUGUAUAGCCUGUGAGCCAAAUAAACCUCAUUUCUUUAUUAAUUACCCAGUCUCAGGCAUUCAUUUAUAGCAAUGAAACAGACAAAUACACCAUCCAACUUGUUUCCCUACCUCCUGCCUUGGAUUAGUCUGUUAUAAAAUAUCCCCCUUUUAAGGCAAUUAAAGGCCAUCAACAAUCUGCAUAGCAAUUUAUCACCUCGUUUUCAGUCAUUAUCACUGUUAGUCAACCAUGUGUUCCACAGCCUAAACAUCACUGAGAGUUCACUGGGAUUAGUUAGGUGUUUUAAGAGUCAUUAUCAUCACCAUUAUUACUACAAAUCACACCAUUUAUUUAGCACCAACAAUCUGCUGAAGAAAGCAGGUUGGCACAAUUUACAGUGGAUAAGAAAUAGAUGCCACCUACAAAAGGAACCUGGGAGUGGGCUCCAGCAAGAAUGAGUGAGGGAAGAUGACUUAGCACAAUCUUUAGGAAAGUGUAUGGGGAUUAUAUACUUUCAUAUCUGGAAUGCGGUCUCCUGGAAAGACAAAUACUUUGUAAAAAUCCUUAUGUUUCUCCAGUGGCCUGAUCAAUAGAGAACUAAGAGAAGUGACCAGAAGAUAUAUUUAAAAUGGCAGAAUUUAGAAAAACUGCUCAUGUCUGUGGUACAACAUGACUUUUUUUCUGCAAAGCCAAUUGAGACUAUUACUCUCUCAAGUCAGUCUGAGCCUAAAGUUGGUGUCUGAGUCCCCUUCUCUACCAGCACAGGCUAUUAUGUAACAUCCAGAGGAGUGAGCCAACUAGUCAACCAAAGCAGGGUACAGAGAGGUUGGCAAUCUGAACUCAGCCAACAGAUUACCACAUAAUAAAAAGGAUGCAUUUCCUUCUGAUCAUUACAAGAAAUUUAAGGCUCUACUCUGCCUUAUUUGGAACCUACCAGAAGCCAACUCAAAUACUCCUUUUUCUUUCUAUAAAAUGUAAACAUUAAAAGUCAAGUGACUUUAACGUGAUUAUAAACUUUAACUUGGAAACUAAGUUUUUAAGGACAGAGCAGAGGAAGUUUUUAUUUUUUAUUUUUUUGGGCUUUCAUAGAAUUGGCCAAAACUUUGAACAAAGCUUAAGGGUGAAAGGAGCCAUUUGGUGAAAAUGUCUGAGUUCCUGCUUUAUAUUUUUAUUUAAGGAUUGUGAAAAUUUGGAGUAAAGCAAUAGUUCAUAUCAAUAAAAGUUUAAUUUAUUUUAUGUUUAUUGAGAAGGAAUUAAGUCCAAAAUCAUCUUAAAUUUGGUGGCUAGUGACAUCUGAAUAACUAAUGAAAUUAGUUUUCAUGAAAAUCACAUAUUUUCUUUACAUGAGAUGUGAUAUGAUUUUUGACAUUUUAAAAGAGCUGUAGGAUAAAUAAUCUAUUAUUAUUGGGGUCAGAUUUGUACACAUGAUAAAUAUUUGACCUUUUAUAUAUCUUUAGGACUUCUGGUUACAAUACUUAAUAAAGGUUAAGGGCACUUAAAUUUUAACAAGCCCAGAUUUUCUACAAUGUCUAAAGAUUCAUAGUACCUUCAUUUUACCCCAAUUAGCAUCUGUACACAUAAAUAUAACUGAGGAAAAAAGAAAAAUUUUCCACCUAUUUCAGUUUGGUGUUCUGAGUCUGAGAUAAGUGCAUAUUAUAGAAAAUGACUGCAGGAGAAAAUAAAAAACAGUGGCUGAGAGGAUAUAGAGUCCAGGAAUUCUUAAGUAUCUGGGAAGAUUUUAAAAGUAAAUACAAAAAAGAAAUUUUGGUGGGCUUUUCCAGAAAGCAAAGUAAGCCAAUACAUUUUAUUACGUAUUUAUGGUUUUUGAAAAUUUUUGUUUUCUACGAACCUACACCAGCUAGAAAAAUAAUUGCCAACUCUUCCCACAAUGACUGAUGCCGUUUGUGAUGUUGCUA
rnacentral:lncRNA from 1 species